AAGAAAUGACUUGAUUGUCAAAACAGUAGCUACACAGGAAAAUUUGCAUUUCAAAUCAUUUCCAUAUCAAGCCUUAACCCUUACCUUCCAGGAGGCUAACAACAGAUAAGCUAUAAUGAAUACCCUUUCUAAUUAUAACAGGGAUGUUUUUAUGCUGACUCCAUUCUAAUGAGCUCAGAGAUUUUACCUACUACUCUCAAUUUCCUGAAGAGAAGACAUAGUCCACAGUCCACACCUUACAACUAAGAAAGUUGUGACACAGAUACAAAGAGAUCCCAGAUCUAUAAUGUGUGGAGGUGUGGUUGUUGUAGCCUACUGGCUGGGAUUGAGGCGGGGGGGGGGGGGGGGGGCAGAAGAGGGAGAGAGGGGGGAGAGAGAUGGAGGGGAGGGAGUGUGUGUGUUUCAGGAUGCGGGGAGAGACCAUCCAUUAUUUGUUAUUUUGUAGUCUGCUGAUAGAGUUGGGACUGGUAUGUAUGUGUGUAAUGUGUAGGAAAAAAACAUUAUAAAGAAUCCAAAAAUCUCACUUGAGAAUGUUUUUAAAUGCAGCCAAUUCUUUUUAUAGGUUCUCAGUCUUAUUUUAUUCACUAUUUUAUUCACAGACUAGACAUGAACAUUUAUAACCUCUCAUUUGAAAAUGAAAAGCCAUUUCUUUUUAACAGCACACUUUAAAAUGCUUACAUGAUACUCUGUCUAUAAUUAAAUAAUUGGUCUGCAAAUGGUCCAGGACCUUAGGCACUUACCUGUAAGUCGAGUACCCUUACUUUACACCUGCCAUAUCAACUGUCAAGUGCCAGCUCCCCCAACAAACAGGCAUUUCUCAUCUGUUCCCACACAGACAUCACAAACUCCCAAUACUUUGCCCAAUUAAAUAUAGCAAGGGAGUGGGGGAACAGGUUCUAUUAUCCUAUUAUCCACAAUACUAGAUUGAAAAUGCACAGAUAAAAAAAUCCACUGGAACUCAGGGAUAGCUCCCAGGCCCUGAGUUCAAGCCUUAUGACUGACACAAAUAAAAAAUAAUUUUAAAAUAGUAUAAGCAUCCCAAACACUGUGAUAUAGCAAACAGAAACCAGUUUCCACCACCAGAAGGAAGAUAAUUGGCUUCCUUAGGGGAGGUCUCUAGCUAAUUCUUACUAGCUCCACUAGCUGGACUUUGACUACAUCACGUACUCACCAAUAGUGAUGUGACAUUUCUGUGAUGUGACACCUGUAACUCAGGUAAGCAGACACUUCAGAACAUAAGCUUGCGGCAUGAUGGGUACAUACCUAUAAUCCUAGAACUUGGUAGGCUGAGACAGGAGGUUCUCAAGUCAAGGCUAAUUUGGGCUAUGUAGGAAGACCUUGCCUCAAAAGAAAAAGAAAUCAAGCCAGGCACCAGUGGCUUCCACCUGUAAUCCUAACUACUGAGAUAUGAG